AGAAACUUAGGAUGACCUAAACCGAGGGCCUUCAAAGCCUUAAACAAGAGUUAAACCCUCUUAGUUUCUG
rnacentral:tRNA from 1 species